rnacentral:tRNA from 1 species
AGCUUUAUAUUCAAAUAAAUGAUAUAAAAUUGCAAAUUUUAAGGUAUAAUAAAAUUAUUAAGGCUU